AAGUAAAGGAAGGCAGGUGUGACUGGAGAGUAGGGAGAGCAAGUUAAGGGUGGGGUAGAGAGUAUAGAGAGAUUGGGUGUUGUGUCCGCGGUGGUAGGAGCACCGCGCCAGUCUACUCCUUGCCUGCUCCGCGCGCUCCCCUAUAUACCGCCUGUGUGAGUUCGGUUCCGCGGUGCUCCCCUAGAUCGCACUUCCCUAUCUGCUCGCCUGGGCAGGGAAGUUCAUCAAGACAACUGGAGAGUAACGACCGCUGGAGUUGGAACCCACCUAGGAUCCAGGCGACGGCGGUGGCCGAGCGUCCGGACGGCGACAAUACCACAGGCUCCGAGAGGGUUGGGGCGGGGAAAAAAGUAAGCCGUUACCACACCAAACGAGGUGGUACGGCCUUCUCCUGGUCUGCGGAAGGUGCGCCACCAGCUCGGGCACCUCAGUAACUUCGUGCGUUGUAGGAACUACUUUAUCAACGGACGAGAAUAAAAAAAGAGGUAAUCUCUACUACGUACUCUACACUGGGGCGUUACUAAAAAAAUAGCUAGUCCACUGACGAAACAUGUUAGAUUGUCUUUUAAGCUCGAUAUGGGAGAGACGGAAGGUAACUAUGGAGGGCUGUAAACAGUCGGUACAAGCAACGAAUCAAGACACAGUCAAUCGCUAAGAAGAAGUAGGUACACUAAAGCAUCUACAAGGGUAUAGUUUGGGUUGACUAAAUGACAACGAACAACAUCCCCAACAACACGAACAAACAAACCUUAAAGAUAUAACCUUAUCCUUAACGAACCUUGUACACGGACUGUGUGUUGACGCUAGUACCGACGAUCUCGCCCGAAUACAAACUACAUGUUAUAGGUUCUCCGUGCACUCGACGUUCUCAAGUGUAAGUCCCGCGUUCUUAACGCUUAUAGUUUACGUGGUUGCCAACUUCCUCGGGUAGGUAGGUGACUCUCGUAACGUUGAAAGCUGUACGGUAACUAUUUAGAUAGACAAAUCAGCGUAGUCUAUGUGGUAGGAAAUUAAUAUAACGGCUACAGUGACUGUAUAUACAUUGAUUCUCUUUUAUCCUGAAACAUACCUACAGUCUGAUAAUAAUAAAACUCCACAAAGUGAGACUUCGAAACAGCUCUAAUCAUAUAUCACUAGUUAAAGUACCUAACGGUAAACAAAACUGAAAGGAACAUGCUAGUGGAGAACCG
rnacentral:rRNA from 1 species